GCCGCCUUAGCUUAGGGGCAGAGCCCUCUGUCUUGUAAACAGACGGUCGCACGUUCGAUUCCUACAAGCUGCA
rnacentral:tRNA from 1 species